UUGUCGUCAGCUCGUGUCGUGAGAUGUUGGUUAAGUCCCGCAACGAGCGCAACCCCUAUUGUUAGUUGCCAUCAUUCAGUUGGGCACUCUAGCGAGACUGCCGGUAAUAAAACCGGAGGAAGGUGGGGAUGACGUCAAAUCAUCAUGCCCCUUAUGACCUGGGCUACACACGUGCUACAAUGGUUGGUACAACGAGUUGCGAGUCGGUGACGGCGAGCUAAUCUCUUAAAGCCAAUCUCAGUUCGGAUUGUAGGCUGCAACUCGCCUACAUGAAGUCGGAAUCGCUAGUAAUCGCGGAUCAGCACGCCGCGGUGAAUACGUUCCCGGGCCUU
rnacentral:rRNA from 1 species